UCUCCAGUGGCACAAUCGGUUAGCGCGCCGUACUUAUAAUACGGAGGUUGUGAGUUCGAGCCUCACCUGGGGAA
rnacentral:tRNA from 1 species